rnacentral:rRNA from 1 species
CCUACGGGGGGCAGCAGUAGGGAAUAUUGCUCAAUGGGGGAAACCCUGAAGCAGCAACGCCGCGUGGAGGAUGAAGGUUUUCGGAUUGUAAACUCCUUUUGUUAGAGAAGAUAAUGACGGUAUCUAACGAAUAAGCACCGGCUAACUCCGUGCCAGCAGCCGCGGGAAUACGGAGGGUGCAAGCGUUACUCGGAAUCACUGGGCGUAAAGAGCGCGUAGGCGGGAUAGCAAGUCAGAUGUGAAAUCCUAUGGCUUAACCAUAGAACUGCAUUUGAAACUGGUAUUCUAGAGUAUGGGAGAGGUAGGUGGAAUUCUAGGUGUAGGGGUAAAAUCCGUAGAGAUCAAGAGGAAUACUCAUUGCGAAGGCGACCUGCUAGAACAUAACUGACGCUGAUGCGCGAAAGCGUGGGGAGCAAACAGGAUUAGAUACCCGAGUAGUC